GGGGCAUAGGGAGAGGGAAGGGUGGGAAACAGUUUUGUGGGAAAUAUUCAUAUAUAUUUUUUUCUCCCUUUUUCCAUUUUUAGGCCAUGUUUUAACUCAUUUUAGUGCAUGUAUUUGAAGGGCUGGGCAGCAAAUGAAAAAGCAAUACAUUCCUUGAUGCAUUUGCAUGAAGGUUGUUCACUUUGUUUGGAUAGUUGUCCAUUUGAGGCAUGGGCAAAUGAAGGACUUUGGUCAUUUUGGACACUUAAGUAAUGUUUGGUGUCUGUUUCUUAGGAGUGAUUGGGGGAGGGAAGAUAAUCUUAGCUAUUUAUUUGUAAUAUUUUAACCCUUUAUCUGUUUGUCUUUAUACAGUGUUUCUAAUUCUAUAAGGUUCAGGGUUCAAAGUGAUGGGAGGUGAAAGAGCAAGGCUUAUUUGGCGGUAGGGAGCCUGUAGCUUGUGCAGGUACUGUAGCAUUAAGCCCAAGCAGAUUAGUCAGAGCCCACCUUUGGAGUUAAGUAAAAAAACCAAAAUGGUAUUUUUCGUUUUAGGAGGUUUAUCAUAGGGUUCAGACAUCAUAGGAAUAUUAGGAGUCCCCUCCCUGGGGAGGUACAGAUUUAUAGUCUCUUUGUCCUUUAAAAAAGGCUGGGCUGGCUUUUUAGGGGUAUAAACAUCUUUUCAGAUGCAGUAAGGUUUAAUGUACAGCCUCCCUAACCCAGUGGCAUGAAAACCAUUACAGAAUUAAUAGUUCUCCUAUUUCCACAAUGUGCCAAAAGUCCACAUCCCAGCAUUUUGUUUGUAGGAGAAUUGAUGCCAUUCCUGAGAGCUGGGCUCCUUGUUUCUCUGCAUCACAUGGAGAAGGAGUCCAGACUUCCAAUCACUCCACUGUAUGCUCUCUUAGAUAAAACAGUAAAAAUUUGCAGCCAUAGUUCACUUAAAACAAUUUCAAGCUCACUUGAAGUAAUGGGGGCCUGGAAUGCUAGGUGGGCAUGAAGAUAAACCCUUGCUACUAUGUAGCAACCAAAUUGGACCUUUUUGGAGGAAUAGGUCUGAGUCUGGAUUCUGGGGGACAUCAAUAAGAAGCCCUUCUCAUAAAUAAGAAAUCCAGGAGACCAUUUGAGUGCAACACAAGUUCUCAGUAUUUGGAAGGUCCUCUUGAAAUUCUGCGGCCUUACUUUGAUUUUGACACCUGCACUGUGCCAUUCCUGAUGAUUCCAUUCAGGAUCUGUAUCAGCAGGAUGGGGCACAGUCCCCAGCACAACUCUUCUGGAUUAAAAAAAAAAAAGCCAGGUGAUUCAUUUGUGUGUGUGUGUAAUAAAUGGAGUGGCUUCAUCAGAUAUUGAAGAAGAUUUCUAUAUUCAGCUUUUUCUGCAGGUUGGAGUUAGCAUAGAGUUGGAAAAUCAGCUUUGGCGUUCUUUCCUGACUGUCUCUGAUUUCCUCUAGUGUUCUCCCUUUUCUGGUCAUCAGCUCUCAACAACUCUGCCACUUUUGUGUCCCAAGGUAAUAAGAAGUAGGAAACGAAACAUUGCAAAGUGGAGCAAGAAAAGUUAUCGGUUACCGUAUCAGAGUCAAAUGUCUUGGGUGACACUAAGGAGGACAUGGGCAAGGUGAUACCAGAGUGCUUUAUCUUGUGAUGCUGAUACAGUAGCAGCCUCUCAGACAUAUAACCAGAUCAAAGAAACCCGAGUUAGGAUCUGGAUGAAGGAUAAGCCCCUGAAUUGUCGAUGGGCACACCCCACACACUGACCCAGCAUCUGAACUUGCUUAACAGGGAGCCGGGGCUAACCUGCUUCACCCUGCCUGAGAACCAGGGAGCACUGCAUUUCUCCACAGGGUGGAGGAGAAGAGGCAGAAUAAACCAAGCCUGGGACACCUCCCUCCUGUCUAGGUGUACUCAUUCUUCUGUUUC